AUGAUGAUUUACAAACAGAGGAAAAUAUCCAAGAAUAUAUUGACAAGAAUGGGACUCCUCCCCCAAAGACAAAUAGACAUUUAUAAAAUAAAUAAAUCUUUAUAAACAUGAAACAACAUAUUACCUAAAUAACACAAACGACGCAUGCAUACAUGUAUGUACUGACACACAUACACAUCUACACAUACAUUCUACAUAAAACUCACUCACAUACACACAUACAAACAGGGUUUGCCAAAAUGAAUGAAAAGAACUGAUCAAGCUUUGAUAUUUCUAUUUUAUUUAUGCAUUGUGAUAGGUAUCAACAUGUGUGUGUUACUCUGUGUCUGUCAGGGACAGGUCCCAGGAAUAUCGCACAGUAGACAGGACAUUACGAGCACCUAGGAGGCUGAAUCAGAAUGACCCGAUCACUUUUACAUAUCUACUUUUGGACAGAGAGGAGGGUGGGAUAAAAGCGUGCACAUUAAAAAAAAAACCCAAAAAACAAACAAAACAAAACAAAACAAAAAACCAACAAGAAAACAAAAUAAAAACAACUUAAAAUAUACGUUAAGACCGACAACAUCAGCUAGGAUUAAAAAAAAACAAACAAAAAACAAACUACACCACUGGUCAGUUUGGAUAACGAGACGUAAGAUUAAAACAAAAAAGCAAACGAUCAAAACGGUAGUUUUUGUGAUGCAAAACAUCAUUAGAUUGUCACCUGAACGACUGUUUAACCCCCUGCCUCCCCUCCUCUCUACCCCCCUGUCCCAAUUCUCAUUAGUUAUGAAAGCCUGUCGUCGUCGUCGCUGUAGCUCAUCAUUAGUUAUCGAAGCCUAUGAUUUCCACGUGUUAUUGCCGGCAGGUGGUGAGAGGACGAGGGGUAUAAUGGGUCUGCGCACACCCACCUGGCAGUUGCACACUUGCCGACAGUGGAGUCAAAGCCUUGACGUUGCCUUUGCCAACCUUUGCCGUAGCGAACGUCAGGACGACGACCGCCGGCGACUUCAGCGCGAUGGACAUGCGACCGUCGUUGCUAGCGCGCUAUUCCUUCUCCACCGUCGCCUCCGCCAGCCCCGAGAAUAGCGCGCGGGACAUGAGGACGAGACGGACAGCGCGCUGAUCUCCCGGCGCCAGCCGAAGGGUUGCGUGCGCUCCAUCGCUCAACCCGCCGAAGCCCAGCACGCGCGGCCACGCAUGCGCAGUGACACGGGACGUGGGAGGGAGGCCCCGGCGCGCGCAUGAUGUGUGAAUUACGGUCGGCGCGGUGCGUCAUAAAUCAAAGCGGUUGCAAAUCGGCCUAACGAGGGCGGUGUCGCCAACGAGGUGCAGCGGGAGGGCCGUGCUGACGCUGACGUUAUAUAAUCCUCGUCAUCAGUCGGCCCCUGGCCCACCGGGCCGCCCUUUGUCACCUGCCCAUGGGCCCAGCAGCGCACGUGUGCUGGCUCGCGCGUGUUCGGGUUGUGCUCGCUGGGUGUGGAGAACAGGGCCGGCAGUCAACAGACCGAGGGAGGCAGAAUUGUGCGCAUGCUCAACAUAACGGAACUUUGGAUGUUUCACGACUUUCUUUUUAACCCGGCGACAAGUUAGUCCUGGGGUUGAAAGUCAAUAUUUGGAAUGUAGCUGAACGUAUGUUAAUAUUUGGCAAAACAUAUUGAAUGCAACGUUCAUAAAUUUCUGUAAAAUCCUUCACGAACAGGGCUUCGCUAUCAAUAAAUAAGAAGUAAUAAUAAAAAUAUGUAUUCAAUUAAGGUGCAGAUUAUGAUAUUAUAAAGGCUAAUAUUUAUUAAGAAAGCCAUUUUCAAAUUGAUCAGACGACAGACCAAUAACUAUUGUUUUGUUGUUGGUGGUGGUGUUUUUGUUUUUUUGGUUUUUGUUUUUGUUUUUUUGUUUUUUUUUUUGCCUGAUUCUCUGUAAGAUGUUAAUGUUUUCGUAGAAGUCGACAGUUACACUGAUUCUUGGUCUCCAAUGUGACUUCUGUUGUCAAGUGACUUGUGGUGACACCACGAUGAUGAAGUCAGAAUAUCGCAGUAAACUGCCAGUGUCCACUCCAGAUAUCUUUCAUGAUGAACUUGUAAAUAAGUAUUUUGCUGGCUGUAUCCAUGCAAGGGAGACAAGGCGUAUUACGUAUACUCUCUCUUUUACUCUCGGAAAGAGACAGAAAAGAGGGGACAAUCGAAAUUUUUUUUUAAAGAAACUAAUCUGUUUAAUUGACUAAGGAACAUUAUGUUUUAAUCCUAUGGAUGAACGUGAGACAGCCAAUUCACAUUCUUUCUCGAAAUGAAAAUGAAAUUUUAUGCGAUUAUUUUCUUUCAAUAGCUUUGUUCUUAUUUCAUUUUCUAUCUCAUUCUGUUCCUUCUCUUCUUUUUUUUUUCAAAAAUUAGAAUCACGUAUUUUCAAAAUUGAGUCUUGGAUGUUUGUAAAUAAAAUAAAAACUUGUAAUAAGACAGGAAUUCUACUGAUCGUAAGCUAGUCCCGCUACCUGACUGAAUGCACGGAUCCAUCGGAGUGGGUGUGACAGGUGUUACCGUUUCUUCUUCCCCCAGGUGCUCGGCUUUACUGGGAUGUCUGUACACAAGAUUGUUUCUAACUUCUGCUGAACUGCAUAUUUUGUUCUGAGGAAGAUAAGGACGAUGUGUCACAAUCUUUCUAUUUCAACAGGCUACAUAUUCGUCUAUACGUUUGUUUUAUCAAGACUCCGGUCGAACACCCUCAAUGAAACCAUGUUUGGUCAUUCAACAUCAUCUUCAUGGAACUGUCUGAUGUGAGGGGCCAUCAGCGGACAAUCCCGACUUUCAAACAUGCCCGUGAAACACUUUUUCGAGAAACAUCUGGAGUCUGGGGUUACAUGUUUCAGCCAGAGACAAAACAUUUAGCUUCAGUGAGCUCACUGUCUUCAGAGGCUGAGGACAAAUGUCACUGGUCGUCACACAGACACACAGAGCAGCGAUGGUCGGAGUUUGUUCAGAAGAUCACCCAGGUCCUCAAGUCUACGAGUCUUCUGGCAAAAUUACAAGUGCAGCUGUGGCGUCCAACGUCCCGCCUAGGGCAUCCUGGGAAGAUCAUUGUCCCUUCGCUCCCGACAACCCCUGCGCGUGGAGUCACGUGGCCAUGCUGGGAUGCACGUGCUGAGCGUGGGGGGCGAACGCUGGGCACAUGGUGACUGCCGGGGCUGAUUAAGCGGGAAACACUGGACAGAUGGGACAGCAGCCAUUUCCUACCCCGCAGUGCAAUUUGGACGACAGACCCAGGGUCGUUCAUCUUAAAGCCAGAACUCUUUAGCUUCGUGUAUUUACAAGUAAACAUGUAUUUACAAAUAAGCAUUAUUUACAAGUAAAUAUGUAUUUACAAGGUUUCGAGUCCAGUCAAAUUAACUUCACAUAUCCAUCUGCCAUGUCCUUCCUCUGCAAUGCGUUGACGACCGUGCGUCUGAAUAUCAAAACUGAUUUCUUUCCAAAAAAGGAUUGGAGCAAAUAUCUGAAACUGAGUUUCGUAGUAUUUUGUAAAAGUCUUUCAGAUUGUUCGGGAAAGAUGAACAUAAAGUAUGAAAAAAAAGUGACGCGUGGCGCAUUAAACAUCAAAGAAAAAUGUUAUUCAUUUUUAUUGUAAAAUUUUGCUUGGAGAGAAAAUUGUAAGAAGCAGAUGGCAAUGUUUUCUGAGCAAGAGACUCCAUGACUUUUUUUUUUAACUUCUGGUUCUGAGGUAACUAUUUUUAUGUUUGUUUGCAAUGUUUUAGUUUAAGUUGGUUUGGUUUUUACUUGUUGCAAGCAGAAGAGGGAGGGUGGGUUUGGUGUUUUGCGCCGAGCCAGCAACUACGACUACAUCACGGCCGAGCAACGAGUCCUGCAAACAGAUGGCACUUGCAGAGAAUUGCAAGCAGACAGCCCCGCAAACAGAUGGCGCUUGCAGAGAAUUGCAAGCAGGAAGCAAAAGAUCGAAUGAACGAGCAGCUUCAGAUUUUUUGUAUAAUGCAUCACUCCCCCUCCUUCCUCCCCAGAAAAAAAAACAACAACAAAAAAGCAGACAAACAAACCCGACUGUUUCACUUCUGCGUCUGAUGCUGCAGUUGAAUUACAAGCAGAGGCCGGCGGGAAAAGCAAAGGAUGGCUUCUGGGAAACCUUUGGAGUUUGUAAUCACCGAAGCCUCGGUCAUCUCGCCUCUCGCUGAACGAUAUACUAAUUCGCCAUCUUGCGCAUGCGCAGAGUAGCUCUUGGUGAUGAUUCAAAGCUGUUAACCUUUAGCGAACCAUUCCAGCAGUGGUGAGCUGACAUGGGGUUAAUAAAACAUUGGCAUUGCAGUUGGACAGAUCAAAGAAAGAUGAAUCCUUGUUUGGAGGUGCCCGGGUUGGAGUCGGGUGGAUGUGACCUUGGUGGUGAUCUGUUGGUACGUCAUGGAUGAAACUAAACUGGGCAAACUAUCAUUUAGUGUGUUAAGCUUACGAUUUUCAAAAUGUGUCCUUAUAGUGUAUGGUGGGUGUGGUGACGAGAGGUGGGGUGGUCGCUUUAUUACCGUUGGACCUAGUUCUUGCUUGUGUGGUUGUUUACUUGUUUGUGCCACGUCACUCGUCAUCCUCUAAAUUGAUGCGUCGAUCCCACCGUGAGUGUAACACCUUUCCGGAUCAACCCCGCCCUCCCCUUACCCAUCUCUCCCCAAAACAACUGAAUCAAAAGGCGAAAAUCAAAAGACAGAACAAAUUUAUUUUUCAUGAAGAGACAAGACUGUUCACUGACAUUAGUUCUGUUAUCCUGAGCGUUUUCACAAAUAUCGACCAGAGAUGACAUCAGAUGUGAUGUUGAGCUGAAGCUUGAUGGCCUCGACCUUUCUGUGUCGCGAUCAGAGCCUCUGUGGAAAGCUGGAUGUUAACGAGUCACAAAAUAUUUUCCUGACCUGGAGGUGAAGAAAAGAGAGAGAAAUGGAGGGCAGGUAUGUAGAUCACUAAGAAGGAUGUAAGUUCUGUGGUGGUAAGAAGGAAAUGUGCGAACGCAGAAAUAAUGAUAGUUCUGCUACAUGGGACAAACAUUCGGCGAACGUGCAUUUAUUUAUCUCCGAACUCUUCCACGGCUAUCAACCGCGAUGACGCAACUACCGAACGGCCGACGCCACGUCAACGCCGUCCGUCAACUGACAGAUGGCGCUAUGAUGGCAUUGUGAUGGUGUUCUUAUGACCUUUCUAAAGUGCAGCCGGAGUACACGUGGAAAAUGGGAGGGUCAUCAAACUACAAACACACAGUUCCACAUCCAAAGAGUGGCAGGGUGGUGGAUGGUGUGGGGGGAUAGAGGUGACAGGGAUUUGGGGGGAAGAGAGAGGGGGGAGGUAGAGUUUGUGGGUGAGAAACAGGCAAGACAUGAUGAGGAGAACAGCGGAGUUACUCUCACCGCCCUCUCCCACACCUUUCUAGCCCAGCGCCCCACAACGGUGUCGGUCCAAAGGCAUUUUUGGCCUGGUGGUCUGCAGACCCCGGCGACAGCGUAUGCCUGCACACACCUCAUCCCGGCCCGGCAUCUCCACGUGUGAAAGGCGUCCAUUGUAACGAGCACAGACCACGCUCGACAUUCUCCCGCCGACAAAAGUGAGGAAUCAAUGCUCCUAGCCUCGCGCCGUGACGUCUCCUACAUCGGGUACAUGAAUAUAAGGCUGCGCACUCCGCUGUUUGCUCUGCCAGCCACAGUGGGUAGGUAGCCUUGCAGUCACCGACACCGACACUCAGACGAAGUGCGAGUCUGUACUGUCUCGUCUACACAAGUGCAGUUCUUCCUCGCCUUUGCAUGGAAUUGUUGAGCUCAAUGAAAUCGCGACACUGAAUAUUCGCUUCUUCAGAACACGGGUACGUGGGUGGUUGGGUAGAUUUGGAUGCACGGCUCCGCUUCCUGGCUGACUGUUGGGUGCAGGGGAGCGGCUAUGCAUGUUUAAGGGAUUUUUAAAAUAGUCCAAGGAGGUAUUGCAAAAAGAAGGUAAGCUGAGGACAGAUCGAAGAAUUUCCAGAAAUUUGUUGUUUGCUAUAGUUACUUUAACUUUAUUUAAGUUUUGUUCGCUCCAAGAGACCGCAGGGUUCACAACAAUCGCAAGGAGAACAAGACAUUGGCGAUUACAAAUAGCAGCGGGAACUGUGAGCUACAAGAAGACAAGACGAGGGAAGUGGAAGAUGUAAAACAAAGAUGAUAUAAAGUCUUUGACACAACUCACAGCUGGACUCUCGCUGACCAGUCAAGUGCACACUGUCCUGCUUUUUCUUUCUUCAAGUGUACAGGCGAGGAUUCAUUGGCAACAGUGAUAUGAUCCACUCACGGCGAUGACAGGCGUACACACACACACUCAUCAACACACUGCCAAGUCAACGCCAAGAAUAUUUAUUUUGUGCUUUAUUAGCAAGUUGCGCCAAGACGAUACAACCAAAGCACCAGGAGAACAGUGAAGAGCUUUUCAGACGGAAUUGGUGACGACCAAUAUGUGUAAAUAUAACAUUUAUAAAAUAGCACUUAUUAUGUACAGGGAUCACUAAGAAACACAGAAGAAAUAUAUGAAAAGUGUGGGUGCUCACAAAAAACCGCGAUGCAAAGCAAUUUUAUUACAUUAAAAUAAUGAGUUCAUUAUAAUAAUUAACCAAGCAAAAUCAGAGAGCAGAAGUGCAUGGCACAUCACACGCUAUACAGAGAAAAAAAAAUAAUAUCACUAGAGAAAAAAACCUGAGCAUAUUUCUUUUCAUUGUGUUUGCAUGUGUGCGUGUGUGUGUGUGGGGGGGGGGGCUAUAGGUGGAAGGGAGCGGAGGGAGGUGCGUGUUUGCUUCCUAUGAUCACAGCUAACCUUCACUGCAGUUUGUUUUCUCAGUUCCAUUUCAUUGCAUCAUUAAUCGCAUGAGAAAAUCUCGUGAAGUUCCUCACAACAAAGUGUGGCAUACACGGGUUGACAGAAUCACGACUUUGAAUGCGCCAGCAUGAGCAAAUAUUUCAUUCCCCAAGGGACACUUUCCAUUCACAGACUUGCUUUAUAAGACUCUGGUAAGCAUUGAGCGUGGCUUCCUCGCCAGGCACACGAUUCCCACAUUGACGAGACUUUGCCUAGCCUACAAUAAUAGAAAGAAAACAGUAACGUGGACACCAGUUUAAUGUCCGGGACAUAUCUAAGAAAAUAAGGAUUUUACAGGAAUUUUACUGAGGCUGACAGCAAUGUCAAGAGUGUGCCAGGAGAAAAACCCAAAUCUGACUACAAAAAAGACUACAAGACAACUAAAUGUGUAGCGAAGGUCAAUUUUAAUGCACUGUACACCUAUCUUUAUCCCCGAUUAACACAGCGACAGCGCCACAUACAAAUGCCAGCUAAGAAAGCAAAACACACUACGUCAAUAAACAAUAAGA